UCUUCCUAACAUCCAUGACGCUGUUGCCCAAAUUCUGUUUAGUGUUCUUAUCCUGACAUGAACAUAGACCCAUGGCCCUUCCUCUCUGAAUUUUUUUACCCUUGAGAUUUUCGAAUACUCUUCCAUGCUUUGCCAUACUUUGGUCUUUAUUUUUAAUGUCUUUGUUUAGUAAUUUUACACCAUAAUUAAAUUUUAUCUACCUACCUGUCCCCCCUUUCUUGCUACCAUCUGCAAGUAAGAUUAAUACUCUCUGCACAGAAUUCUUCAGUUCAGUUAUACAAUCUGGGAUCAAGAACUGACCUCUGCAGGUCCCAGCUCAACAGCUCUUCUUAGAAGUCAGCAAACUAUUAUUAUAAUUAUUCUGUGUUCACAAAUUCCAGAUUUCUGUAGCUACUUUGAAAGAUUUGAAUAUAAACCUCCUUCCUAUCAUUCCUUGUGAGACUAUCACAUGAAAAUGUAGAAGGUGUCUUGCAGAGUAGGUGUCUAUGCUCACAGUGCUUCCCCUGUCUGUAAAGUGUAAAUAAUUUGACACAAGCAUUGUGAGAUUAAGCACUCAUACCUGAAGUCAGUCUAAAAUUUAAUAAUUUUCCAUUGCAUUAAUAUAUACAUGCUUCACAUAUUAUAUAUUUAUUUAACUCAGGUUUAAUGGGACACUUGGAAAUCUAUAUUUAACAGGGAAACAGGAAUAUAGCAUAUUUAUUUCAGAGAAAAUUUAACUUUUGGGAUUCCUUGAUUACUGAGUACUUGAUUUUAAAAGCUGUAGCUUGCAUCUUUAUUAGUAUAAUUUGACUAUUAUUUUAAAAUAAAUAAUAGUGAUAGUUGCUUAGGAAUAUUUUAAAUAGGGUUCUUCAACUGUGCUAUGUACAAGCCUUUUACAUAGCUUAGGUGCAAGCCAGGUCCUUUUCUAAAUGUUACGGUUUUGCUACUGUUUUCUGUGAAACGGUUGCAUUGCUCAAAUUUAAAUGUACCUCCUGCUUCAACAGUUCAGCUUAUAAAUUUCUGUACCCCAUAGCUGGACAGUUGUCGUAUAAUAGGUUACAUCUAUCAUUAUUGGUCUGAUCAGUCAUUCCAUAUCCUAGUAGGCUCUCCCAUUGACUUGAGGAAUCAGAUCCAUAUCUGCUUUAGAUAUGAGAUUCAUGGACUGAUAGUUGAAAUUAGGGACCUGUAUUAUGUAGCUGAGUUGAGCCUCUCAAAAUAGCCAUAAGGAGUUCUUAUAUCCAUUUGGAAAAGUAACAUAGGUAGCUGAAUCCUUUGAGCUUCAACUUAUGAAUCUGUACAAGUAAAUACAUCAUGCCCUUUUUGGAUAUAAACUAACUACAAAGUUAUUUGAAUGAUCUCAUUUGUAUUAUAGUAAAUGAACAAAGGAUCACACUCAUCCUUACACUGUCAGUAUUUUUCUAAUGCAGAAGAGGCAUUUGUUAAUAGGGAAUAUGGAGCCUUUGACAUUUUGGAUCCCAAUCCUUCAGUGAAGCUAGUCAUGCACCUGCUUAUUUGUGCACAAAUCAUUCUAAUGAAUUCUAAAGGACUAUUCAUGUGCAUAAAGCUAAGCCUGUGUGUAAAAGCCUUUGCAAGACUGGGCCUAGGUUGUAAGUUUGAUAAUGACCUGAGACUGAUUCAACAGAAUAAAAACAGUCCUUUUAGAAAGUUGAGAAGUGUAACUCCAGCUCAGCUGAACAGGUAUGGGCAGUGCUAAAAGAAAAAAACUGAUCAAGAAAAAAUGGCAAGAGAUAUAAAUCUUUUUUAUUAUUAUUUAUAUUUUAUAAUACUGCAUUUUACCUUAAUCUUAUUAAUUCUUGGCUUCAGUUUAUUUUCAUUAUGGCUAUGAAUUCCAUUUGAAUAACUUUAUUUCAGGAGCUUAGAAACUUUCCUGGUUUAAUUUCAUGUAUAUAUAUAUAUAUAUAUAUAUAUAUAUAUGUAUAUAGCCUAUGUGGAAGCGUAGAUCCGCUUAGAGAAUGGUAGUUGAGAGAAAUCAUAACUAGGCUCAGGAAAGUUUUGCUUAAGGAGAAGUCACGACAUCAACACUGUUUCAAGAAGAAGUGUGCAGAAGAGCUUUGUGCGCUUAUUUGUUCAUAGCAUGCAAUAUUCUGCCUUCUGCUGCAAGUGUUUUGUGCUGCACUGCAGCACUGCAUGUUCUCAGAGACUGCACAUCACCUGCAGGAGCCUCUGAACAACAUCAGGGGAAUUUCAGUCAUUGUGAUGCGUCUCCUGAAACCAUUUGCUAGAUAUUGCUUCCAUCAGUUGCUUCCACCAGGAACUUCCAUAGAAUUUGGUAAAGACUUUUUAUGUGUUUAACAUUAAACAGACAGGCAGUGCUACUGAAAUCACCAUGAGAAAGAAAUGAAAUUACUUAAAUAUAAACUGAGUUCCUGCUUGGGCCUAUGGUGUUUGGCAUUUAAUAUGGCAGCCUAGAAGAUGGACAUUUGACAGGCCACAAUAGACUGCUCCUUUCCCAGAAAAACAUCAGUGGAACCCUCACUUUUAAGGAAAUCACAGUUAGAGGCUGGAAAAAAGUUAAAGGGAUACAGAAUUGCAGUCAGCUAUAAAUUUUCAACAUGACGCUUGACAUUCAAAUGGAAAUCUCAAACUGCUACUGAUAUUGGACAGGAAACAGAAAAGGAUUAGAAGAAGAAAUAGCAGGACAUUUUUUCACUAAAUCUGUUCUGGAUUAUAUUAUGCACUUGGGUCUUGUGGUAGUGAUAUGUUUGAUGCAAAUUGACACAAAAAUGAACUUUACUGAACAGAUACUGUAGUACUCUGAUUUUUGAUUGAUAUCUAUAUAUCUAUCUAAAUUCCAUAAUUUCACACAAUAUAUUUCUAUCAAGUGUGUUGCACAAUCAAUCUUAGAUAUUUUAAUUACAGUUUAUCUUAGCUAAGAAUUUCAAGAAGGGUUACUUCUUGCAGUCUCCCAUUUUUUCAUGUUAAUUUUGGGACUUCUUUAAAAUGGGAUUUAUUUUCAGAGGUGGAAGUACUUAGCUGGUUUCUGUAGGGCACAUAUUUCAAAGGUUUCUUCUUCUGGUGUUCAAGCACAGAGACAUUUAAAAUUUUCACUUGUUUUUGAAAAAUCUUGAUGAUACCACAUGCUCACAUU